rnacentral:rRNA from 1 species
UACAGAGGUCCCGAGCGUUGUUCGGAUUUAUUGGGCGUAAAGGGUGCGUAGGUGGCAAAGUAAGUUGGAUGUGAAAUCCUGGGGCUCAACCUCAGAAUUGCAUUCAAUACUGCUUAGCUAGAGAGCUGUAGAGGAGACUGGAAUUUACGGUGUAGCAGUGAAAUGCGUAGAUAUCGUAAGGAACGCCAGUGGCGAAAGCGAGUCUCUGGGCAGCAUCUGACACUGAGGCACGAAGGCCAGGGGAGCAAACGGG